rnacentral:misc_RNA from 1 species
AACGCACAUUGCGCCCGACAGUAUUCUGACGGGCAUGCCUGUCCGAGCGUCGCUUCAACCCUCGAGCCCCCCCUCCCGGGGGGGGGCCCGGCGUUGGGGAUCGGCCGCCGCCCUCGCCGGCGGCCGGCCCCGAAAUCGAGUGGCGGCCUCGCCGCAGCCUCCUCUGCGUAGUAGCACAAACACCUCGCACUGGACGGCCGGCGCGGCCACGCCGUGAAACCCCACACUUUCCAAAAGGUUGACCUCGGAUCAGGCAGGACUACCCGCUGAACUUAA